UAGCCAAGAUGUGGAAACAACCUAUUAUGCCCAUCAACAGAUGACUGGAUAAAAAAAUUGUGGGAUAAUAUACACAAUGGAAUACUACUCAACCUUUAAAAAAAAGGAAAUUCUUCAAUACACACAACACGGAUGAAUCCUGAGAACAUGAUGCUAAGUUAAAUAAGCCAGUCACAGAAAGACAAAUGCUGCUUGAUUCCACUUGUAUGAGCUGUAAUCCCAAGCCAUCUCUAAGUAUGUUCAUUCUGGAGUCCAGACAUUCUGAAAACCAAAUGGAAGAAAAGGAGCCAAGGUGACUAAGAAGGAUCAGCCAGAAAGGAAUGAGGAAAAGCAGGAGUGCCCAGAACCUCAAAAGCUGAGAGAAAGUGAACUUCAAAGAACAGAAGUGCAUCUGGGUAGAUAUCCUAAAGACUUGAAAUCAGUAUGUGGAAGAGGCAUCUGCAUUGCUAUGUUCAUUGCAGCAUUAUUCACAAUAACCCAGAUGUUGAAUCAACCUAAGUGUCUAUCCAUAGAUGAAUGAAUGAAGGAAAUAUGAUCUGUAUACAUAAUGAAAUACUAUUCAGCCAUAAAAAAGAGUGAAAUCCUGUCAGUUGCAUCAUGGAACUGAAGGACAUAAUGGAAUACUAUUUAGCCUGAAAACAGAAUUCAUACUCCAAGCCCCACAAUACGCAAUAUACCUUUGUAACAAGCCUGUACAUGUACCCCUGAUUCUAAAAUAAAACCUGAAUAAGAAGAAGAAAAUCCUGUCAUUUUUUGACAACAUGACUAAAUGGCUGAACCUGGAGGACAUUUUGAUAAGUGAAAUAAGCGAAUCACAGAAAGACAAAAGCCAUGUUUUCACUUAUACGUGGAAUUUGAAACAAACUCAUAAUAGCAG
rnacentral:lncRNA from 10 species